AGAGUUUGAUCCUGGCUCAGGAUGAACGCUGGCGGCGUGCCUAACACAUGCAAGUCGAGCGAGGGUUUGCUCAGUAUUGAGUAUUCUAAGUCUAGAAUGUUCAAUUCUGAGCAAAACCAAGCGGCGGACGGGUGAGUAACGCGUGGGUAACCUGCCCUAUACACAUGGAUAACAUACUGAAAAGUUUACUAAUACAUGAUAAUAUAUAUUUGCGGCAUCGCAGAUAUAUCAAAGUGUUAGCGGUAUAGGAUGGACCCGCGUCUGAUUAGCUAGUUGGUGAGAUAACUGCCCACCAAGGCGACGAUCAGUAGCCGACCUGAGAGGGUGAUCGGCCACAUUGGAACUGAGACACGGUCCAAACUCCUACGGGAGGCAGCAGUGGGGAAUAUUGCACAAUGGGCCCCGGCUAACUACGUGCCAGCAGCCGCGGUAAUACGUAGGGGGCUAGCGUUAUCCGGAUUUACUGGGCGUAAAGGGUGCGUAGGUGGUCCUUCAAGUCGGUGGUUAAAGGCUACGGCUCAACCGUAGUAAGCCGCCGAAACUGGAGGACUUGAGUGCAGGAGAGGAAAGUGGAAUUCCCAGUGUAGCGGUGAAAUGCGUAGAUAUUGGGAGGAACACCAGUAGCGAAGGCGGCUUUCUGGACUGCAACUGACACUGAGGCACGAAAGCGUGGGUAGCAAACAGGAUUAGAUACCCUGGUAGUCCACGCUGUAAACGAUGAGUACUAGGUGUCGGGGGUUACCCCCCUCGGUGCCGCAGCUAACGCAUUAAGUACUCCGCCUGGGGAGUACGCACGCAAGUGUGAAACUCAAAGGAAUUGACGGGGACCCGCACAAGUAGCGGAGCAUGUGGUUUAAUUCGAAGCAACGCGAAGAACCUUACCUAAGCUUGACAUCCCUCGGACAGGUGUUUAAUCACACCCUUCCUUCGGGACUGAGGUGACAGGUGGUGCAUGGUUGUCGUCAGCUCGUGUCGUGAGAUGUUGGGUUAAGUCCCGCAACGAGCGCAACCCUUGUCUUUAGUUGCCAGCAUUCAGUUGGGCACUCUAGAGAGACUGCCAGGGAUAACCUGGAGGAAGGUGGGGAUGACGUCAAAUCAUCAUGCCCCUUAUGCUUAGGGCUACACACGUGCUACAAUGGGUGGUACAGAGGGUUGCCAAACCGUGAGGUGGAGCCAAUCCCUUAAAGCCAUUCUCAGUUCGGAUUGUAGGCUGAAACUCGCCUACAUGAAGCUGGAGUUACUAGUAAUCGCAGAUCAGAAUGCUGCGGUGAAUGCGUUCCCGGGUCUUGUACACACCGCCCGUCACACCACGGGAGUCGGAAACACCCGAAGCCGAUUAUCCAACCGCAAGGAGGAAGUCGUCGAAGGUGGCGUCGAUAACUGGGGUGAAGUCGUAACAAGGUAGCCGUAUCGGAAGGUGCGGCUG
rnacentral:rRNA from 1 species